CCUUAAACCUCGCAAUUAAAUUUCUAUGAAAACUCAUUUUCACUAAAUUCGUUGGAGCAGCAGCCAUGGCGACUGAGCUAGAAGAACUCAUCGGAUUUCUCUCACAUGAUUCUCCACCUAUUAAAAAGGCUGCAGUAAAUAUUUUUCGGGAUUAUACGGGUUCAGAAGAUGGCUUACAGUCUCUCGGGAAAUAUUCUGCCGUCGCUGUUCCGUCUCUGUGUCGCCUCCUUGCUGAGAAAAAGGAAGUGUCUGAACCUGCUGCAGAAGCCCUUGUUAAUUUGUCACAAGUACCAGAUUUGGCAGGAAAGAUGGUUGAGAUGGGUAUUGUCAAAAUUGUGAUGGAUAUACUUUACAAAAUACACUGCGACAUAAAACACUUACUGGUCAUGCUUAUUGUCAAUGUAACACAACUGGAUGCUGGAAUUGAGUCUUUACUUCAGAAUGCAGAUGAGAAGAUGCAAGGUCUGUACGUCAUGAAGCUGGUUCGAUCAUUUUGUGCUUCAUCUAGUUCUAGUGAAAGGAAAGGUGAUGAUCCUUUUGAACAUGUGGCUUCUAUACUUGUAAACAUAUCACAGAAAGAAGCAGGAAGAAAGCUUCUACUGGAACCCAAGCGAGGGCUUCUGAAGCAAAUUAUCAGGCAAUUUGAUUCACCAAGCCCAUUGCGAAAGAAAGGGGUUUCAGGAACUAUUCGAAAUUGUUGCUUUGAAGCAGAAAACCAGCUGCAAAAUUUGCUUCUUGUAUCAGAGUUUCUCUGGCCUGCUCUACUACUUCCAGUAGCUGGAAACAAGAUAUACAGUGAGCAAGAUACAUCUAAAAUGCCCCCUGAACUUGGGAGUGCACUCUCAAUUGAACGUGAAGCAGUAGAUGAUCCCGAAAUUUGUGUUCAAGCCCUUGAUGCCAUAUACCUGCUCGUCUUACAGGAAGCCGGCAGGAGAGCUUUCUGGUCCAUUAACGGUCCUCGAAUACUACAAGUAGGGUACGAAAACGAGGAGAACCCUCAAGUAAUGGAGGCAUUCGAACGUGUUGGCUCAUUGCUGAUCCAAGAGAAUGGCGUGGAGACAGACACCACGCUGGCAACAUAGGAGCACCCCUCCCUUUGUUAUGCUGCUGUUGGUGAUGAAGUUCCGGUUGGGAGGAUAAGUCCAUCGGUUUGAUCGAACAGGGGGUGAUGGAGCACUGCAGUGAGCUCUUGGCAUCAGCGUGAGCACAGGGGUUUAUUUCUGGAGGAAGAAGUACUCAAAGAGCUUCUUGGUAUGAUGGAAUGAAAUGAAGAAGGAAUAGAAUGGAAAUAUGAAUGGAAUGAAGAUGUGGUAUGGUGGAAUGAAAUGAAGAAGGAAUAGAAUGGAAAUAUGAAUGAAAUGAAGAUGAGAAUGAAAUAAACAUUUUAUUCUUUCGCUUGGUGAAUGUAAGGAAUACAAAUGGAAUGAAAUUGAGUAGUGUGUGUGGUGUGUGCAAUGUGUAUAUUCAGUGUAGUGUGU